UACGGAGGGUGCAAGCGUUAUCCGGAUUCACUGGGUUUAAAGGGUGCGUAGGAGGGCAGGUAAGUCAGUGGUGAAAUCUCCAAGCUUAACUUGGAAACUGCCGUUGAUACUAUCUGUCUUGGAUACCGUGGAGGUGAGCGGAAUAUGUCAUGUAGCGGUGAAAUGCUUAGAUAUGACAUAGAACACCAAUUGCGAAGGCAGCUCGCUACACGAAUAUUGACUCCGAGGCACGAAAGCGUGGGGAUCAAACAGG
rnacentral:rRNA from 1 species